GUUCGUUCUCCAUUAAAAGAACUGUCCAACAUCACUGUUGAAGGAUGUGCGGAUGCAAGGCAAUGUAAACGGGAAAGGGAAAGAGCACGAUACGCGGCGAUGAGUGAUGAAACAAAAAAUGAAUUGAAGAAACGUCGUGCGUCACGCAACAAAGAAAAUGUUGUACACCAUGAGUAUUCAAAAGUGUUAGAUCCAAAGGAACGUAAGAGAAUCCGAGAAAGAGCUCGAUGUGCAACUCAAACUAAGGAACAAAGGACGUUGCGUAAUAUGAAACCAUGUCAAAAGAGAGCAAGGGAAAACUAUAGAAUAAGAC
rnacentral:misc_RNA from 1 species